GAUGAUGAUAAGAGCUUUAGGAGAGCACCUUCAUGGAGAAAGAAGUUUAGACCAAAGGACAUAAGAGGUUUAGCUGCUGGAUCAGCAGAGACUCUUCCUGCAAAUUUCAGAGUUACAACCUCAAUGUCUUCACCCUCUAUGCAGCCAAAGAAGAUGCAGAUUGAUGGCAGUGUAUCAGGAACACAAAGAUUGGAUUCUGCUACAGUGAGGACCUACUCCUGUUAAAGCCUUCUCCUGUUUACCCACACUAUUUCUACCGGUGAUACGCAGCAUUUUGACCCAUUUGGGACCCUUAAACUGUUAAUACUUGUUAAAUGGAGACUUUGAGAUAUUUUAUUACAGAGUUUUUAAUUAGCAAAUAAAUUCAUGAGUACUAUAGAGAAAAUAUUUUAGAAUCUAAAUGUUUCUUAUAUUUAUGUGACUUCUCAUUUAUAUAGUUACUUACUUUUUCUGUUUAUAUUCAGUCUACAAAUCAAAUCAUUGCUGAUUUUUUUUAUUCUAAUUUUAGUCUUUCCAACUGAAUGUACUGUAAUGCUUGUAUGUAUAUGUCCCUAUAAGUAAUAUAGGGUUUUUGUAAAUUAUGCAGUUACUGUAAUUAUCACUGUUUUUUAAUAAUGAAACUGAAGGUGAAAAGGAUUUUAAUACCUUUGUAAAAGUAUCAUGACACCAAGCAGUAUAUAUUUUGUCUUUUAGAAUGUUAGCUUAGAUCUGAAAACAAGUCCAGCUUAUUUUUCAGGUAAACAUGUUGUUGUAGACGAUAUGGUACAUGAUUGUUCUUCUCAGAACUCUACCUUUUCCACAAAAAGGAUUUGUCAAUCAGUGGGAAUUUGUCUUUAUUUAAAAUAUAACUUGUUUUAAAAGCUGGGAAGAACUGUUAACGCUGCGGAACAUGUUUUAGAAGCGAUUGACUUGGUCAUAACGCUCUCUGCUGUAUUUGUAUAGCGCAUCUUCACAGUGACUGAAAACAAGCCAUAAACCAAGAACUGUUUUUACGUGGGGUGUUUUUCCUUAACUGAGGAAGAUAGACUUCAUAAUAAUUCCUGGUCGUAACCCACAGGCCACAGAGAGUUUUUGUCCUAGAUCCUUUUUUGAUGGAAAAACACUUGUGGAAAGAUGCUGGUGAAACUAGUUGUAAUGGACCAACCGUGAAGCACUGCAGUCUCAUCAACAGUGAAAGAUGAAGGUACAGUGGGCUGAAAACUAAAGCAGUGAAGCUUCUAAUAAAGGCCUUACUUUUUCUUACGUAAGUCAUCUUUUGUGUUUUGUAAACUUGUUCUGAAGAGUUGUCUGGACUUUUUUAUGGUCGUAGCCAUUUUGGACUGUAUGAGUAGAAAACGUAUCCGACACUUGUAAAUGGCGUAUUAAAAAGCCAGCAAGAAUCUGUUCAAACGGUGCAUUAUUUAUUAUGCAACAAUAUAUAUAGCAUGUCUUUUUUCUUACUUGUUUUCCACUUUAACUUGCUUGUAAAACUGAAAUUCAUUGUUACUGUUCUGUUUUUCUAUUAAUCUUUUGUGUAUUUUUUAGAUUAUGUAACAAUAUGUACAGUCUACUUUUGAACUAUUUUUAUCACAGUAUUAUUUAUUGCUUUCUUUCAAUAAAGUACUGAUGCAUUUUCCACUGCCAAUAAAACACUAUUGAAAAGCUGAGACCUAACUGUAUGCAGGCAGAUAAUUUUGCGGUGAGUGGCUAUUGUCAAUAAAGCAUCUUAAUGAUUGUUUGCUGCCCUGUAGAUCUCGUUUCGAAUGAUGACUUUUCUCCGGUAGAAAAAUGAUGUUAGAUGGGACAUUUUCUUUGGAAUUGU